CGAGCAUCAGUGACGAACAAUUUCAAUUCGUUAUCCUUGCACUUUGAUUGUUGGUGAAGAAACUUACGGGGAAUUGUUUAUUUUGUUAGAUUAAUGGAUCUAUGAUGUUA